UGGGGAAUAUUGGACAAUGGGCGCAAGCCUGAUCCAGCCAUGCCGCGUGAGUGACGAAGGUCUUCGGAUUGUAAAGCUCUUUUGGCGGGGACGAUAAUGACGGUACCCGCAGAAUAAGCCCCGGCUAACUUCGUGCCAGCAGCCGCGGUAAUACGAAGGGGGCUAGCGUUGUUCGGAAUUACUGGGCGUAAAGCGCACGUAGGCGGAUUGCUAAGUCAGGGGUGAAAUCCCGGGGCUCAACCUCGGAACUGCCUUUGAUACUGACAGUCUUGAGUCCGGAAGAGGUGAGUGGAAUUCCUAGUGUAGAGGUGAAAUUCGUAGAUAUUAGGAAGAACACCAGUGGCGAAGGCGGCUCACUGGUCCGGUACUGACGCUGAGGUGCGAAAGCGUGGGGAGCAAACAGG
rnacentral:rRNA from 1 species